UUUUUUUUCCUUUCCUGUAAGUUACUAUCUUUGAUUAGAUAUUCAUAUUUUGGAAUGUGUUUUGCUUGCAAUUUUACUUACUCGGCAAUGGCAUGGGGAGACUGGAGAGUAAGGAUUGGGGGUGACACUGCAUUGAGUGAUGCCAGAGAAAUUUAUGCAAAAAAAACUUACCAACUUCAUUGAAAAGCGACUCAAGUCAGAAAGGGCUGCUUCUAUUUGGACAAGCACAUUGCAACAAACUAUUGAAAUGGCCAGAAAGUUAGAAAUAGUUUUGUAAGCGAUGUUGUAGAGACUUAUGGCUUGAAAUGGCUAAAUGAUUUAGGUCCUGCAUCUUUUGGAAUAA